rnacentral:rRNA from 1 species
UACAGAGGGUGCGAGCGUUAAUCGGAAUUACUGGGCGUAAAGCGCGCGUAGGCGGCUUUUCAAGUCGAUUGUGAAAUCCCCGGGCUUAACCUGGGAACUGCAGUCGAGACUGUCUAGCUAGAGUAUGGGAGAGGGAAGUGGAAUUUCAGGUGUAGCGGUGAAAUGCGUAGAUAUCUGAAGGAACAUCAGUGGCGAAAGCGACUUCCUGGACCAAUACUGACGCUCAUGUGCGCAAGCGUGGGGAGCAAACAGG